UCAUCACCCACUGUGUUAAAAACAAAUGAUGGUCAGCCUGAUUUUACUUUGGUGAGAGACAGGUUUGUUUGAGUGUGUUUCAGAAACAGUUUUGAUGUUAAACCUUAUUUGGAGUGUACAAAGAAAAAGGGAGAAGCAGUGAGUGGGAGGAAAUGCCUCUUCGUUGUCAUCAGGGGAGAAAGAUGCUGAAAUAGAAGGGCAAGAGCAGCUGAAGACCCUGUUGUUGGUUCUCAAAGGAAAACCACAGCAUGACCUUGGUGGUGCUACUACCUUAAAGCUUUCCCUAAGUACUGAAAAGAGGACAGCAAGCGAAAGAAACUUGAAAAAAGACUGAGUAAUUUUGCUGUGGCUGAGUGAAAGAGCAACUAGAAGGUGGAUCUUCAAAAUCCUGUACGUGAGUGCUGAUGAGAAGAAAGCAUUGAUACCUCAAACCAAAGUUCUUUUUGGGCUGAUUAUG
ensembl:lncRNA